CGCCCCGCAGGGGAGCGGCAGACGGGUGAGUAACGCGUGGGAAUCUACCUUUUGCUACGGAAUAACUCAGGGAAACUUGUGCUAAUACCGUAUGUGCCCUUUUGGGGAAAGAUUUAUCGGCAAAGGAUGAGCCCGCGUUGGAUUAGCUAGUUGGUGGGGUAAAGGCCCACCAAGGCGACGAUCCAUAGCUGGUCUGAGAGGAUGAUCAGCCACACUGGGACUGAGACACGGCCCAGACUCCUACGGGAGGCAGCAGUGGGGAAUAUUGGACAAUGGGCGCAAGCCUGAUCCAGCCAUGCCGCGUGAGUGAUGAAGGCCCUAGGGUUGUAAAGCUCUUUCACCGGUGAAGAUAAUGACGGUAACCGGAGAAGAAGCCCCGGCUAACUUCGUGCCAGCAGCCGCGGUAAUACGAAGGGGGCUAGCGUUGUUCGGAUUUACUGGGCGUAAAGCGCACGUAGGCGGACUUUUAAGUCAGGGGUGAAAUCCCAGAGCUCAACUCUGGAACUGCCUUUGAUACUGGAAGUCUUGAGUAUGGUAG
rnacentral:rRNA from 2 species